rnacentral:rRNA from 1 species
AGCGAACGCUGGCGGCAGGCUUAACACAUGCAAGUCGAACGCCCCGCAAGGGGAGUGGCAGACGGGUGAGUAACACGUGGGAACGUACCCUUUGGUUCGGAAUAACUUGGGGAAACUCAAGCUAAUACCGGAUAAGCCCUUAUGGGGAAAGGUUUACUGCCGAAGGAUCGGCCCGCGUCUGAUUAGCUAGUUGGUGAGGUAAUGGCUCACCAAGGCGACGAUCAGUAGCUGGUCUGAGAGGAUGAUCAGCCACACUGGGACUGAGACACGGCCCAGACUCCUACGGGAGGCAGCAGUGGGGAAUAUUGGACAAUGGGGGCAACCCUGAUCCAGCCAUGCCGCGUGAGUGAUGAAGGCCUUAGGGUUGUAAAGCUCUUUUCCCCGGGACGAUAAUGACUGUACCGGGAGAAUAAGCCCCGGCUAACUUCGUGCCAGCAGCCGCCGUAA